rnacentral:rRNA from 1 species
UACGUAGGGUGCAAGCGUUGUUCGGAAUUACUGGGCGUAAAGGGUUCGUAGGUGGCCUGCUAAGUCAGACGUGAAAUCCCUCGGCUCAACCGGGGAACUGCGUCUGAGACUGGCGGGCUCGAGGACAGGAGAGGAACGCGGAAUUCCAGGUGUAGCGGUGAAAUGCGUAGAUAUCUGGAGGAACACCGGUGGCGAAGGCGGCGUUCUGGACUGUUUCUGACACUGAGGAACGAAAGCCAGGGGAGCAAACGGG